CGUCGUGAGACAGGUUAGUUUUACCCUACUGAUGAGUGCGUUGUCGCGACAGUAAUCCAACUCAGUACGAGAGGAACCGUUGGGUCACAUAAUUGGUUAAUGCGGUUGCCUGAGGAGGCAAUGCCGCGAAGCUACCAUGUGCAGGAUAACGGCUGAACGCCUCUAAGCCAGAAUCCAUGCUGAAAAGCGACGAUACUUGAAUUGGGACAUACGCGAGUAGCGAUAGGCCUUGUGCCCUGGAUCAUGCAAAGCCCUCUGGGCGGAUCAUAACUCGAACUCCCAAGACAUUAGAUCGAUUGUAGACGACUCUAUUGAGACCGGGUAUUGUAAGUGUGAGAGUAAGCUUGUCUUACGAUCCACUGAGAUUCAGCCCGUGUUU
rnacentral:rRNA from 12 species